GCCUGGCUAGCUCAGUUAAUAGAGCAUGAGACUCUUAAUCUCAGGGUUGUGGGUUUGAGGCCCCUGUUGGGUG
rnacentral:tRNA from 1 species